CACGGGUGAGUAACACGUAUCCAACCUGCCGUCUACUCUUGGACAGCCUUCUGAAAGGAAGAUUAAUACAAGAUGGCAUCAUGAGUCCGCAUGUUCACAUGAUUAAAGGUAUUCCGGUAGACGAUGGGGAUGCGUUCCAUUAGAUAGUAGGCGGGGUAGCGGCCCACCUAGUCUUCGAUGGAUAGGGGUUCUGAGAGGAAGGUCCCCCACAUUGGAACUGAGACACGGUCCAA
rnacentral:rRNA from 1 species